rnacentral:rRNA from 1 species
CCCUUAGAUGUUCUGGGCCGCACGCGCGCUACACUGAUGCAUUCAACGAGUCUAAAACCUGCUCUGAUAGGGGUGGGUAAUCUUUUGAAUGUGCAUCGUGAUUGGGAUAGAUGAUUGCAAUUUUUCAUCUUCAACGAGGAAUGCCUAGUAAACGCAAGUCAUCAGCUUGCAUUGAUUACGUCCCUGCCCUUUGUACACACCGCCCGUCGCUACUACCGAUUGGAUGGUUUAGCGAGAACUUUGGACCGGAGCUCGGGUGGUCAGCAAUGGCCGCCCGAGACAUACUGGGAAAUCGCUCCAGCUUGAUCAUCUAGAGGAAGUAAAAGUCGUAACA